GGGAGGAGUAAUGUUCGGCCAACAGAAUCAUCACUUUGCUUUAAUAAUUAUACAUCGGAUGUCACAUAUGUUACUUCAAGUGGUUCAAUCAUAGCUGCCGCAGGGUAUAGCUCCAGUGGUGUUAAUGUUGUCAUAUGGGACACCCUUGCUCCACCAGCAACAUCUCGGGCCUCAAUAAUGUGUCAUGAAGGAGGUGCACGCUCUCUUGCAGUGUUUGAUAAUGAUUUAGGAAGUGGUUCUAUCUCUCCACUCAUUGUAACGGGUGGGAAAG
rnacentral:misc_RNA from 1 species